GGUUAAGUUAAUAAGGGCGCAUGGUGAAUGCCUUGGUACUAGGAGCCGAUGAAGGACGCAACUAACUGCGAUAAGCUUCGGGGAGCUGUACGUAAGCUUUGAUCCGGAGAUUUCCGAAUGAGGAAACUCGACCAGUGUUAUGACUGGUCACUGCAUAGUGAAUACA
rnacentral:rRNA from 1 species